UCCACUUAUGAAUAGAGGAAGGGGCACCUCAGAAGAGUGACAUACCGCCCCGAAAGGCGAAGUAAAGUCACUCUCCGUCCGUCGGGUUCGACUUCAACAAGAAGCAUUGGCGGAAGACAUUCACCAAGGUCGGAAUCCCGUGCGCAUGGCAAAUGGAAAGGAACCCGAUGAUGGUCCUCCACGAGUUCGGAGCGAGUUGUACUGGGACGAGCUAGUACUCCACCAGCAACUCG
rnacentral:lncRNA from 1 species